rnacentral:misc_RNA from 1 species
GAUAUAUUCUCAGUCAGUCUUAUCGUCGUUAUAAGAUGCUCGUACUUAUAAUUACGGUAAUCUUCUAACUGGAUUUAGAUCCAAUUUAAAAAUUUGGAUCAAUCGUUGUCAUUAGUUUUAUUCCACAGACGUCCCUUUUUCAUCGACUCGUUUUCGGUCACGCAAGGAUCAGAGGAAAGUAAAUGACGGCCCACACGAAAAGAAGGACUAUCAAGAGCAACAUGGUCCUCGAUCUGAAUGUGUCCCAACCAACCAGAAGUUGUCUCGAUCUUCUCUGAUGCUCCACCGACGACAUGGACUAUACGGUGUCAUGCAGAAACUUGAGUGCGGAGAGGAUGUUUGCGCCAGCGAGGUCUAAGCCUAUGAAGAGUCACGAGAGAACUUGGGGAGCGGCUCCGGAUCGCAGUGAAUACAGAGGAAAAUCAUCAACUACUCAGAGAAGUCGAUACCGAAGCUUUGGUGGAUUUGUGAAAGUGAUAGUGUGUGGUGUGGUGUAAUGUGCAAAGACUCGAGUACUGAGACUGAAGUGUUGACGUGAAACUCAAGUGUUGAAAAGACAUUCAUAAAAGGACCUAGAAAGCAGAUAUUAAGAAGAGAGAACCUGAUGGGGAGUAGCUCCAGAAUGCAGUGAAUCCAGAAGAAGCAACUCAACUUCGGCAGAGUCUGUGAGUCGCAUGCUUUGAUAUUGCUGUCUAACUUUCCUCAAUCUUUUCUAUCGCGUGGCAUGGUGGUACCAAUGUUUGUCAUUGUAUAACUUGAUGUAUCGAUUUGAAUUCUCAGAAUAAUCAUCAAUUCAUUUGAAACUAUAAGUUCAAUGUUUGAGCUGCUUUUGCUUGUCUUAAAUCAUUGAUUGUGAGUAACAACGUUGAUCCAGUUAACAUAUUAUUAUAUUAUAAACAGCAUAGCUUUUUCAUGAAAAUCAUUCUCAAAGUUAAAUCAAAACCUGAAACUUUGGAUAGGAUGUAUUAACCCGUUCUUCCCGUACAGCUAAACUCAACAAUGUAAGUUCCGAA